CCAAGUAGGGCAUACCCAGGAACGAAGAACCCUAAAAAUCAAUCGCCAUGCUUUCUUCCCCCGGUGAGUGCCAAUCCUUCUCGACCCAAUUCCUGCUCUCACAAUCGAUCCAAUGCAGCGGCAAAGAAGCCUGACGAGCAGCCGGCGCCACCGGCGAGCAAGUACGAUCUCCCUCUCGGCACGCAAUUCGAAUACAUUCCCACCAAGAAGAUCGAGCUCAACAGGAUUCGAGCGAAAUACGGCGCCGCGGAGCUCCAGAGGAUGCUCGACUCGGUGGAAGCCAAGCCGCCGCCGCCGCGAAUCGCCGAGUUCCUGGCAAUCAAGGGCUUCCUGGACGUGGAUUUAGCAGACCCGGAUCUAGCGCCCCUGCUCGAGUAGCACCAAGAACCCUAAAUCGCAGAGUACUUUACCUAACAAAAGUAUUUACCUUUAUUAAGAGUCUUAGGGCUUCCUAAUUCUUACCGCCAAAAGUUACCGUGGUAAUGUCGGUGUUACGUGGUAAAUGAAUAAAAUACGUAAAGGUGAAAAUCCUGCUGCCCUGCUGGGCAGCCAAAAAG
rnacentral:lncRNA from 1 species